rnacentral:rRNA from 1 species
UUGCACUAGAUGGGAACCGGCGAACGGGUGCGUAACACGUAUGCAACCUACCUAUAACUGGGGGAUAGCCCGAAGAAAUUCGGAUUAAUACCCUAUAAUAUUUAGAUAUCGCAUGAUAUUUAUCUUAAAACUCCGGUGGUUAUAGAUGGGCAUGCGGUCUAUUAGUUUGUUGGUGAGGUAACGGCUCACCAAGACUACGAUAGAUAGGGGGUCUGAGAGGAUGAUCCCCCACACUGGUACUGAGACACGGACCAGACUCCUACGGGAGGCAGCAGUAGGGAAUAUUGGUCAAUGGACGCAAGUCUGAACCAGCCAUGCCGCGUGCAGGAAGACGGCCCUAUGGGUUGUAAACUGCUUUUGUAUAGGAAGAAACCUCUCGACGUGUCGGGAGCUGACGGUACUAUAAGAAUAAGGACCGGCUAACUCCGUGCCAGCAGCCGCGGUAAUACGGAGGGUCCAAGCGUUGUCCGGAUUUAUUGGGUUUAAAGGGUACGUAGGCGGGACAUUAAGUCAGUGGUGAAAGCCUCCAGCUCAACUGGAGAAUUGCCAUUGAAACUGAAGUUCUUGAAUGUGGAUGAGGUGGUUGGAAUAUAACAUGUAGCGGUGAAAUGCUUAGAUAUGUUAUAGAACACCAAUUGCGAAGGCAGAUCACUAAACCAUUAUUGACGCUGAGGUACGAAAGCGUGGGGAGCGAACAGGA